rnacentral:rRNA from 1 species
UACGUAGGGGGCAAGCGUUGUCCGGAAUUAUUGGGCGUAAAGAGCGCGUAGGCGGUCCGGUAAGUCGGUUGUGAAAGUCGGGGGCUCAACCCUCGGAUGCCGAUCGAUACUGCCGGGCUAGAGUCCGGAAGAGGCGAGUGGAAUUCCUGGUGUAGCGGUGAAAUGCGCAGAUAUCGAGGAGGAACACCAAUGGCGAAGGCAGCUCGCUGGGACGGUACUGACGCUGAGGCACGAAAGCUAGGGUAGCGAACGGG